rnacentral:rRNA from 1 species
AUUGAACGCUGGCGGCAGGCCUAACACAUGCAAGUCGAACGAGUGGCGGACGGGUGAGUAAUGUCUGGGAAACUGCCUGCUGGAGGGGGAUAACUACUGGAAACGGUAGCUAAUACCGCAUACCAUCAGAUGUGCCCAGAUGGGAUUAGCUUGGUGGUGGGGUAACGGCUCACCAAGGCGACGAUCCCUAGCUGGUCUGAGAGGAGGACAAGCAACACUGUAACUGAGACACGGUCCGGAGUCCUGCGGGAGGCAGCAGUGGGGAAUAUGGCACAAGGGGCGCAAGCCUGAUGCAGCCAUGCCGCGUGGAUGAAGAAGGCCUUCGGGUUGGAAAGUACUUUCAGCGGGGAGGCGUUACCCGCAGAAGAAGCACCGGCUAACUCCGUGCCAGCAGCCGCGGUAAUUC